UCUCUUCGUUUUUUUCAUUGGGUGUCUCUGUAUUUGUUUAUUUUUUCUUGGUUUGUUUUAUUUUAUUUCUUACGAGCUACUAAUUCUCAGUUGAUUUGAUGUGUAUUUAUUUGGUUAUUGAAUCUAGAUAUGUGUUUCUAAUUAACCCGCUAAAGGUACUUUGCUGGGUAUUUGUCUGGGUACCAUAGAUAUCCAGCAAACCAGAGAAGAAUUUAGGAUCAUAGGCUAAUUAAGUUCACAGUUUCACGAUUCUUCGGCCACUACUGCUGGUGAGGCACGGCUUUCUAUUGAUAGCAAAUUCAUUCUAUUACAUGGUUCCAAUAAGUACAAAUUGAAUAUUCUUUGGCCUAUUCUAGGCAACUUUAAAGAGAAAGAAUUGCUUAUUUUGGUGGUAUAGUCAACAUGACCAAAGGACAAAGCUUGGAGAAAACAAAUAAGUAAAGAGGAAGCAUACAGAAAGUGAAGAUCAUUGGAGUAGCUUCAAUAAGUGAAGAUACAUACAGGUUGUAAAGCUGUAACUUUGGGUUGACGGAAGGCUAAUGAGUUGCCCAACAAUUAUUUAUGCUCAACGCUAUAAGAAAAGUAUACUUUGUGUGGCCACAAGAAUGGAAUCACCAGCAUUUUGUUUUGACAAUGGAUCAAUGCAAGCUAUUUGUAGGCCAUCGUAUUAGUCAUUUAGUUUAAGGAGUUGAGUCUUGCACCUUUACAUUUUAUAAUGAAGUAGCAACAACUAGAGUUAUGCCUUGUAUUCUGGCUUUGAACUGAUGGGCCACUAAUUGAGCUGAAUAUGCAAUACCAACCUACAAGACAAGGCAUCCGUAUAACAAGUGCUUUUGAACAACUGUAGAGUACAACAUAUGCAGAUGGUGGAAAAACAUUGCAUCAAGUAACGGGUCAAAAGAAGAUGCUGUCAAUGAGGGUAUAAGUUGGUGG